GGCUGUCGUCAGCUCGUGUUGUGAAAUGUUGGGUUAAGUCCCGCAACGAGCGCAACCCUUAUCCUUUGUUGCCAGCGGUCCGGCCGGGAACUCAAAGGAGACUGCCAGUGAUAAACUGGAGGAAGGUGGGGAUGACGUCAAGUCAUCAUGGCCCUUACGACCAGGGCUACACACGUGCUACAAUGGCGCAUACAAAGAGAAGCGACCUCGCGAGAGCAAGCGGACCUCAUAAAGUGCGUCGUAGUCCGGAUUGGAGUCUGCAACUCGACUCCAUGAAGUCGGAAUCGCUAGUAAUCGUGGAUCAGAAUGCCACGGUGAAUACGUUCCCGGGCCUUGUACACACCGCCCGUCACACCAUGGGAGUGGGUCGCAAAAGAAGUAGGUAGCUUAACCUUCGGGAGGGCGCUUACCACUUUGUGAUUCAUGACUGGGGUGAAGUCGUAACAAGGUAACCGUAGGGGAACCUGCGGCUGGAUCACCUC
rnacentral:rRNA from 1 species